rnacentral:lncRNA from 1 species
AAAUUCUAAUUUGCACGGUAAAGGUCAUAGGAGCUAUAGAAAUUGAGGACUGUUAGAACGGUAAGGUGAUAAGGGAAGGUCAUGCAUAGGAGAUGGGAGGAGGCAGUUUGGCAAUUAAUAUAUGUCUCCAUCAUGAGGGAGUCAACCCUGUGAUCCUGGGUCCUUGUUUAGGAUUAUUAAAUGCAUUAAAAUGCUAAUGCAAUCUACAUGAGGUAAGCUUGAAUGGAGUUUCAAGGAUGGGCAGGUUAUUAUUGGUGGAAAAUGAUCCCCUUGACAGGAACAAUCAAAGCUAGGGAUGGGGAUGUUUCAAGCAGUGGAGAUAAAAGUCCUUUGUAUAUGCAACAAAAGAAAAAAGGUUCAGAGGUAGCAGUAGUUUUAAGUAACUUUCUAAUUUUCUGUUGCAAAUAGCAAAUGCUACCUUUCUUGUAUGGAUUCUUUAAGAAAGGAAACAAGGCAGAGCAGUGUCAAAGUAUAACCCAAAGUCACAAAUACACUAAAUUAUAGCACAAUGUUUACUUAUUUACAAAGAGGAUAAAUUAGUAAAUGGAUUUCACCCCACAGAGGCAAAACAGGAUUUAUUAAAACGGGGGAAAAAAGGAGAGAAAAAUAAUUGUAGUCUGAGAAGAGUGCAUCUUGUUUGUACAUUUUUUUUUUAAUUUUUUAAAAAAAUCUUAUUUAUUCAUGAGAGAGACAGAGAGAGGCAGAGACACAGGCAGAGGGAGAAGCAGGCUCCAUGCAGGGAGCCUGAUGUGGGACUCGAUCCCAGAACUCCAGGACCACGCCCCGAGCCAAAGGCAGGUGCUCAACCAGGGGGCCACCCAGGCAUCCCUGUUUGUACAGUUUUUAUGGGUUAUCUGAUUAGCUGGUAGCAGUCACUCUGGACAGUCUGUCCUUGAGUAGGCAGACUAGGGGCACAAAAAUAUCUUGAAUGUUUCUGAACUGUCUGGUAAACCUUUGUGAGCUACCCCAUGAAGCUGCGGGACAGGCUGCUCCUCUGUGCCACCUGCCACUAUCUCUCUCAGCACCUCAUUCUUAGUUGCACAGGGUCUGCACUACCUCCCUCAAUACACCUGCUACUUUUCCGUAACUCUGUUUCCCCUACACCCUGACUUUUCACUGGAUCCUCUCCCGAGUCCUAAUUUAAAAGCGAUCAUGGGGAUCCCUGGGUGACGCAGCGGUUUGGCGCCUGCCUUUGGCUCAGGGCGCGAUCCUGGAGACCCGGGAUCGAAUCCCACGUCGGGCUCCCGGUGCAUGGAGCCUGCUUCUCCCUCUGCCUCAUUCUCUCUCUCUCUGUGACUAUCACAAAAAAAAAAAAAAAAAAAAAA